rnacentral:rRNA from 1 species
UAAGGAAUAUUGGUCAAUGGACGCAAGUCUGAACCAGCCAUGCCGCGUGAAGGAUGAAGGUCCUCUGGAUUGUAAACUUCUUUUAUCUGGGACGAAAACGGGAUUUUUAUCUCAAUUGACGGUACCAGAGGAAUAAGCACCGGCUAACUCCGUGCCAGCAGCCGCGGUAAUACGGAGGGUGCGAGCGUUAUCCGGAUUUACUGGGUUUAAAGGGUGCGUAGGUGGCUUAUAAGUCAGUGGUGAAAUCUCCGAGCUUAACUUGGAAACUGCCGUUGAUACUAUAGGUAUUGAAUUAUCUGGAGGUAAGCGGAAUAUGUCAUGUAGCGGUGAAAUGCUUAGAUAUGACAUAGAACACCAAUUGCGAAGGCAGCUUACUACAUAUAAAUUGACGCUGAGGCACGAAAGCGUGGGGAUCAAACA